AAUCCAUAGGUUAAUGAGGCGAACCGGGGGAACUGAAACAUCUAAGUACCCCGAGGAAAAGAAAUCAACCGAGAUUCCCCCAGUAGCGGCGAGCGAACGGGGAGGAGCCCAGAGCCUGAAUCAGCAUGUGUGUUAGUGGAAGCGUCUGGAAAGGCGCGCGAUACAGGGUGACAGCCCCGUACACAAAAGCGCAUGUGCUGUGAGCUCGAUGAGUAGGGCGGGACACGUGGUAUCCUGUCUGAAUAUGGGGGGACCAUCCUCCAAGGCUAAAUACUCCUGACUGACCGAUAGUGAACCAGUACCGUGAGGGAAAGGCGAAAAGAACCCCGGCGAGGGGAGUGAAAAAGAACCUGAAACCGUGUACGUACAAGCAGUGGGAGCACCCUUUGGGUGUGACUGCGUACCUUUUGUAUAAUGGGUCAGCGACUUAUAUUCUGUAGCAAGGUUAACCGAAUAGGGGAGCCGGAGGGAAACCGAGUCUUAAUUGGGCGUUAAGUUGCAGGGUAUAGACCCGAAACCCGGUGAUCUAGCCAUGGGCAGGUUGAAGGUUGGGUAACACUAACUGGAGGACCGAACCGACUAAUGUUGAAAAAUUAGCGGAUGACCUGUGGCUGGGGGUGAAAGGCCAAUCAAACCGGGAGAUAGCUGGUUCUCCCCGAAAGCUAUUUAGGUAGCGCCUCGUGAAUUCAUCUCCGGGGGUAGAGCACUGUUUCGGCUAGGGGGCCAUCCCGGCUUACCAACCCGAUGCAAACUGCGAAUACCGGAGAAUGUUAUCACGGGAGACACACGGCGGGUGCUAACGUCCGUCGUGAAGAGGGAAACAACCCAGACCGCCAGCUAAGGUCCCAAAGUCAUGGUUAAGUGGGAAACGAUGUGGGAAGGCCCAGACAGCCAGGAUGUUGGCUUAGAAGCAGCCAUCAUUUAAAGAAAGCGUAAUAGCUCACUGGUCGAGUCGGCCUGCGCGGAAGAUGUAACGGGGCUAAACCAUGCACCGAAGCUGCGGCAG
rnacentral:rRNA from 1 species